UCUAUGAGAAGCUUGGACCAAGGAAAUAGAGUCGAGAAUCGACAACAAGACCUAAUCCCAUGAAGCCCAAGGAUCCAGUUCGUGCAAGCUUUGAUAAGGUAAGAUGGAUCAUUAAUGCCAUCAAGACUGAGAAGCCUUAUUGGCUAUCGAGACAACUAGCCUAAGGAAGCAUCAACCGCAGUGAGUUAUGGGCUUUUGGAUUGAUCCUAGAAGAUGAAUAUGGUAUGUUCGAGGCCACGCAUGAAAGAGAGGCACUCGUGGGUAGGCGACCCAAGUAACCUGACCAGCUAUCCGGCUCGCUAGGCCCAAACCAUGGGAUAACAGGCCGCAUGCCCGAGAAAAAC
rnacentral:lncRNA from 1 species